rnacentral:rRNA from 1 species
CGGAAACGACUGCUAAUACCGCAUAGGACAUGGAAUCACAUGAUUCAGUGAGGAAAGGUGGCGCAAGCUAUCGCUAAGAGAUGGACCCGCGGUGCAUUAGCUAGUUGGUAGGGUAACGGCCUACCAAGGCGAUGAUGCAUAGCCGACCUGAGAGGGUGAUCGGCCACAUUGGGACUGAGACACGGCCCAAACUCCUACGGGAGGCAGCAUG